GACGAACGCUGGCGGCGUGCUUAACACAUGCAAGUCGAACGGAAAGGCCCUGCUUGCAGGGUACUCGAGUGGCGAACGGGUGAGUAACACGUGGGUGAUCUGCCCUGCACUUCGGGAUAAGCCUGGGAAACUGGGUCUAAUACCGGAUAGGAGCCAUUUUUAGUGUGAUGGUUGGAAAGCUUUUUCGGUGUAGGAUGAGCUCGCGGCCUAUCAGCUUGUUGGUGGGGUAAUGGCCUACCAAGGCGGCGACGGGUAGCCGGCCUGAGAGGGUGGACGGCCACAUUGGGACUGAGAUACGGCCCAGACUCCUACGGGGGGCAGCAGUGGGGAAUAUUGCACAAUGGGCGCAAGCCUGAUGCAGCGACGCCGCGUGGGGGAUGACGGCCUUCGGGUUGUAAACUCCUUUCGCUAGGGACGAAGCUUUUUGUGACGGUACCUAGAUAAGAAGCACCGGCUAACUACGUG
rnacentral:rRNA from 1 species